AAUAAAUGUGAAUUUCUUAUACCAGGGUAGUAAUAGUUAUGUUCUUGAAACCCAAAGAAUUUGGCGGUAUUUUAGUCCUUUCAGAGGAAUCUGUCCCGUAAUCGACAGUCCACGAGAUAAUUUACUUAUCCUUGUAUUUCAGUUUGUAUACCUCCGUCAUAAGAAGAUCUUUUUAGAGAUAAAUUUUCUUAAUAUAUUAAGUAUAAAAUGUCAGGUCAAGGUGCAAUUUAUGGAUGAGUGGAGAUGGAUUACAAUAAAUUUAUUUAAAUGGAUUAAAUUAUUUAAUUUUUUAUGAAGGUGGAUUUGAUAGUAAUUUUAAUUAUUUGUUAUUAUGAUUUUGGCUCUAAAAUAUGC
rnacentral:rRNA from 1 species